rnacentral:rRNA from 1 species
AUGUAUAACCCGCCACGAUCGACAUCACCCUUCUGUGGAUUCACAUCGCGUUAUCAAUGCCAAGGAUAUACAAUGAGUGUUGAGAAGAUCAUCAAUUUGCCACUCUGCCUCCAUCUUCAACACAUUCUAGAGUUCUGCUAUUCAACUAUAUGUGGGUUUAUAUCUCGGUCAAGUAUGGAGAAUCUCAAGCCAACUCCUCGAGUUGUCUUAAGACUCGGGGGCUACACGGACAUGACUCAGCAAAUUUUGCCUGUUUCAACAAAUUCAAGAACCCCGGGCCAUUGGAGGGAAAAUAACCCGGUCCUGGAGGCUACUGCCACAUUGAUGAAAGUUUAA